UGGUCGAGCAUAGUUUGCAAUCGCGACACGCGCGUCAGUGAUAACGAAGCUCGACUCCUUUGACCAUGAUUUCGGCCCUCGGCUCUUUGACGCUCGCUUUCGUUCUUGUUUCAUCGGCAAUUCCACGUUGCCGCGGGAAGAGCCUCGGUCAACUGGUAGAGGAAUUUGAGGACAUCGAGGAUGAGCGAAGGGACUUGCUCAAGGAUUCCCUGAAAACCAUCGAAGUCACCGAGAACCAGAAUGCGGUGAGGUACCUGGUUCGUCUGGCAGAGGCACAUGUGACGUUGGUCAGGCUCCGGAAAUACUUCCAGGCUGCAGAAAAGGUCCUCCACGCUGCCCACUCGCUCACAUCGGAGCAUGGACUGCCAGAUGUUAGAGUGACGGUCGCCAAGAGUAGAAUCGAGAAUGAUGCCCUGAGAAACCUUUUGUCGAAGCUGACAAAAAUCUAUUCCGAAACGAGUGACAUUCAAGUUUGGAACAUGCCGUACAUCGUGCGAGGUCUAUUACUGCCGGUUUGUCGCGCUUUCAUUCACAGUGAAGAAAAACUCCUGGAAGUAAUCGUGAAAUUCCAGUCCGAGCUAAGUCAUGCCACCGAAAAGAAAAGCAUCCUCCUGGUCAAUUGACAGAUCCCAGACGACCACGUCUCCAUUAUUUUUCCUCCAUAUUAACACAUGUUCUAAAAAACUUUGAAAUACAUUUACCAUACUGCUAAAAAUUAUGUUUUUUUUCCUUGCAUUCAUUGAAAUCGAGUCAACGUCAACUCUACUUUCGAGUCAAACUUGACUGAAUGGACCAUUAGACAAGGUACGAAUUUCCGCAUUCUGAUACAUGUUUCUUAAUAAUUACGUAAAACACGAUGC
rnacentral:lncRNA from 1 species